CGUCUAGGCGGUCUUGUAAGUCACUUGUGAAAGCCCAGGGCUUAACCCUGGAAGGUCUCGUGAUACUGCUUGACUUGGGUGUGGGAGAGGAGAGUGGAACUCACAGAGUAGCGGUGGAAUGCGUAGAUACUGUGAGGUACCCCGAUGGCGAAGGCAACUCUCUGGCCUACUACCGACGCUGAAGCGCGAAAGCGUGGGGAGCAAAGG
rnacentral:rRNA from 1 species